rnacentral:rRNA from 1 species
UGCGAGUCGAGAGGGUUCGGCCCUCGGCGGACUGCUCAGUAACACGUUUGAUAAUCUGCCCUUAGGUGGAGGAUAACCUCGGGAAACUGAGAAUAAUACUCCAUAGGUCUAGGAUGCUGGAAUGCAUCUAGACUCAAAGAUUUAUCGCCUAAGGAUGAGUCUGCGGACUAUCAGGUUGUAGUCAGGGUAAUGGCCUGACUAGCCUACGACGGAUACGGGUUGUGAGAGCAAUAACCCGGAGACGAUAUCUGAGACACGAUAUCGGGCCCUACGGGGCGCAGCAGGCGCGAAACCUUCACACUGUGCGAAAGCGCGAUGAGGGAAUCCCAAGUGCUUGCUCUUAGGAGUAAGCUGUUUUCCUGUUUAAAGCGCAGGAAGAGGAAGGGCUGGGUAAGACGGGUGCCAGCCGCCGCGGUAAUACCUGCAGCUCGAGUGGUGAUCACUAUUAUUGGGCCUAAAACGUCCGUAGCCGGCUUAGUAAAUGCCUGGGUAAAUAGUACCGCUUAACGGUACUAAUUCCGGGUAGACUGCUAAGCUUGAGACCGGGAGAGGUUAGAGGUACUCCUGGGGUAGAGGUGAAAUUCUGUAAUCCUAGGGGGACCACCAGUGGCGAAGGCGUCUAACUAGAACGGGUCUGACGGUGAGGGACGAAGCCCUGGGGCGCAAACCGGAUUAGAUACCCGGGUAGUCCAGGGUGUAAACGCUGCUUGCUUGAUGUUAGUCGGGCUCCGAGC